CGCGAACAGCACUUACCCCCAACAGUCUGUCAAGGCUACGCGGGGGACCUUUGUGUGUAGAGCUCAGCAUUUUUCUUCCUCAUUUGCGAGCCUCGCAAGCAAAAUAAACUUCAAAGUGAGCUUCGGUGAAAUUUAAGAACGUGAGCUGUCGCCACCAUCUAUUUAUUAUUCGUGAUGCAUUACAAAAAAAACGAGCUUUUCUUGUGUUAGAGAUCACGUGAAUGGUAAAUGUGUCGUACACCCACCUCCACCUGACAGAGUCAACUAGUCUAGUUUGUCAACGUGAACAGAACGUGCCAUUGUGUUACUUUAGGAACAAUGAGAAGGGUUUGUCAACGUGAACAGAACGUGCCAUUGUGUUACUUUAGGAACAAUGAGAAGGGUUUGUCACGUGAACAGAACGUGCCAUUGUGUUACUUUAGGAACAAUUAGAAGGGUUUGUCAACGUGAAGAGAACGUGCCAUUGUGUUACUUUAGGAACAAUGAGAAGGGUUUGUCACGUGAACAGAACGUGCCAUUGUGUUACUUUAGGAACAAUGAGAAGGGUUUGUCACGUGAACAGAACGUGCCAUUGUGUUACUUUAGGAACAAUUAGAAGGGGUUGUCACGUGAACAGAACGUGCCAUUGUGUUACUUUAGGAACAAUGAGAAGGGUUUGUCACGUGAACAGAACGUGCCAUUGUGUUACUUUAGGAACAAUGAGAAGGGGUUGUCACGUGAACAGAACGUGCCAUUGUGUUACUUUAGGAACAAUUAGAAGGGUUUGUCACGUGAACAGAACGUGCGAUUGUGUUACUUUAGGAACAAUUAGAAGGGUUUGUCAACGUGAACAGAACGUGCCAUUGUGUUACUUUAGGAACAAUUAGAAGGGUUUGUCAACGUGAACAGAACGUGCCAUUGUGUUACUUUAGGAACAAUUAGAAGGGUUUGUCACGUGAACAGAACGUGCCAUUGUGUUACUUUAGGAACAAUGAGAAGGGUUUGUCACGUGAACAGAACGUGCCAUUGUGUUACUUUAGGAACAAUUAGAAGGGUUUGUCAACGUGAACAGAACGUGCCAUUGUGUUACUUUAGGAACAAUGAUAAAGGUUUGUCACGUGAACAGAACGUGCCAUUGUGUUACUUUAGGAACAA